GGCAGCAAGCACCAAAGACGAAGAAGUACGUAGCCACAAAAGUGAACUUAAUAAAUUAUUUAUUGUAGAUAUUAUCACGACCUUUGGGACACACUCUACAAGUGGGCCCAGAAGAUCGUAACAUUUUUAAACAAUCCAUUUUUUCUUGUAAUGUUUGGGUUAAGUGUCCCCAAGACGCACUCAAAGUCUUUAACGAUAUUGGAAGUAGCUUAUACGAUGUGCUUAUUGUGUAAUUUUACGUUGUACUCAUAGCUUAAUUACUUUAAUUGAUGAAGUUUUCCCAGACUUGAUGAUAUUCUGGACGGAACGAUACUUCGUAGAGGACUUCCUUCAGCCCAUAUGGUUUAUGGAAUUUCACUAACAGUUCAUGCUACAGUCCACAAGAUGUUUCUAAUAAUGCAAAAUGUACUCUGUUAUGCAGAAAACAGGAAGGUAAUGUUUUUAUGCUGUCUGUGUUUUUAACGUAUUGAUCUAGGACAUCGCUCUUGAUGACUUUGCUACGUUGGGUAUUCGAUUUUUCACUGGGCAAGGACUAGAAAUCCACUAUAGAGACUCUCAAAGGUGUCCUAGUUUCUGCGAUUUCAAAGUACUAGUUCGUGCUAAAUGUACCAGUUCCUUCAAAUGGGGAGUCCAGUGGUUGAAACUGUGUGCCAAGAACGAUACAAUCGAACUGAGUGUCGAUCUUUGCGACAAAAUAGGUGAAUUUCUUCAGAUAUACGACGACUAUAUAAAUUUGCACAGUACUAAGUACGCAACCGUUCGGGUUCUCUGUGACGAUCUUGAUGAAGGAAAAUUCAACUUUCCUAUGAUUCAUGCUAUUCAAAGUCAUCCGAAC